AACGAACGCUGGCGGCAGGCCUAACACAUGCAAGUCGAGCGCACCCUUCGGGGCGAGCGGCGGACGGGUUAGUAACGCGUGGGAAUGUACCCUUUACUACGGAAUAGCCUCUGGAAACGGAGAGUAAUACCGUAUGUGCCCUUCGGGGGAAAGAUUUAUCGGUAAAGGAUCAGCCCGCGUAAGAUUAGAUAGUUGGUGGGGUAAUGGCCUACCAAGUCUACGAUCUUUAGCUGGUUUUAGAGGAUGAUCAGCAACACUGGGACUGAGACACGGCCCAGACUCCUACGGGAGGCAGCAGUGGGGAAUCUUAGACAAUGGGCGCAAGCCUGAUCUAGCCAUGCCGCGUGUGUGAUGAAGGCCUUAGGGUCGUAAAGCACUUUCGCCAGGGAUGAUAAUGACAGUACCUGGUAAAGAAACCCCGGCUAACUCCGUGCCAGCAGCCGCGGUAAUACGGAGGGGGUUAGCGUUGUUCGGAAUUACUGGGCGUAAAGCGUACGUAGGCGGAUCAGAAAGUAAGGGGUGAAAUCCCAGGGCUCAACCCUGGAACUGCCUCUUAAACUCCUGGUCUUGAGUUCGAGAGAGGUGAGUGGAAUUCCGAGUGUAGAGGUGAAAUUCGUAGAUAUUCGGAGGAACACCAGUGGCGAAGGCGGCUCACUGGCUCGAUACUGACGCUGAGGUACGAAAGUGUGGGGAGCAAACAGG
rnacentral:rRNA from 1 species